rnacentral:lncRNA from 1 species
AUGGAUUCACCCACAUGGGCACACGACACUGUGGGCAUGGUGAGCCACACAGGGGGCAAGUGGCCCUCAGGGCAGAGCACACCAAGUGGAACUGACCCUCAGGGGCGCUGGCGCUUCCCUUCCCUGCCUGCUGCCCCGCCGGCUCUCCAAAGCCUCCGGGAGCCCCCUGCGCCUGAGUUUCCCCGGAGUUCCGCCAAGAUCGUGGGGCACAGUGGAGAUCCGGAGAGAAACCAAGGCUCAGGACAGCUCCUCCUAGCACCUUGGAACAUCAUGAGUCCCUCCAGAUGACAAAGCACGUUGGACGCAGGGGCUGGGCUGGAGGGAGAUCAGAGCCCCUGCAUGUCCCCGAGCUCACCCUGACUACUCCCCCCCCACCCCCGGCCCCCGGGUGUGGCUGGGCUGCUGUGCGUUGGAGGAGCCACGUGCCAGCCGGAGGAGCACCUCUGACCUCCUCCCGCCUCUCCACACCCAGCCCUCUGCCUAGUUUUUCCUGAAAGCAUGUCAGAGGUGGAACUGAAACCCUAAUCUGCCUGGAUGUAUUUGCCAGGGAAAUGAGGCCACAGGGUCUGACCAGUCACGACUUGGCCUCUGUGUGCAAGGGAAAAAGGAGACAGGAAACUGGGACAUCAGGCAACCCUGGGUACAGUCACACCUAUGCUCAGCGACCUUAUCUGAUCACACAGUUUGCAAAUCCAAUCAGGGCAAAGAUCACAUGCACUUAGCUAACAUGCCACAAGGGACUUCCUAUGGCCCCAAAGCAGAAAAAUGUCCACAAGUGUCAAGCAAACUAUCAUUUGAAGAGUUACAUUUUCUGGUGUUUAUAUCAUGUCCUGAAUGGAUACUUUCUUAAUUAGCUUUGUGACCUUGGGCAGGUCUCUUAACCUCUCUGAACCUCAAUUUCCUAACAUGUGAAACAGGACAAAUAAUCACAACUUCACAAGAGUCUCCUGAUGGUCAUGAGAUGAUGUGCACAAAAAGACCAGGGCCCGGGCUGGGGCUGGGGCUCACAAGUAGAGCGCUCAACUAGUACGUGUGAGGCCCUGGGCUCGAUCCUCAGCACCACAUAAAUAAAUAAAUAAAAUA